rnacentral:rRNA from 1 species
UACGUAGAAGACUAGUGUUAUUCAUCUUUAAUAGGUUUAAAGGGUACCUAGACGGUAUAAUUAGUCUUUAACAGGAAACGGUUAUACUAGAGUUAUAUAUGAGGAGGUGAGUAUUUGUGGAGUAGAGUUGAAAUUCUUUGAUACCAUGACGACUGGUAAAGGCGAAAGCAACCUUUUAUCUAAUAACUGACGUUGAGGGACGAAGGCUCGGGUCGCGAACAG